rnacentral:rRNA from 2 species
UGGGGAAUCUUGCGCAAUGGGCGAAAGCCUGACGCAGCAACGCCGCGUGCGGGAAGAAGGCCUUAGGGUUGUAAACCGCUUUCAGUAGGAACGAAAAUGACGGUACCUGCAGAAGAAGGUGCGGCCAACUACGUGCCAGCAGCCGCGGUGACACGUAGGCACCAAGCGUUGUCCGGAUUUAUUGGGCGUAAAGAGCUCGUAGGCGGUUGAGUAAGUCGGGUGUGAAAACUCUGGGCUUAACCCAGAGCCGCCACUCGAUACUGCUCUGACUUGAGUUCGGUAGGGGAGCAGGGAAUUCCUAGUGUAGCGGUGAAAUGCGCAGAUAUUAGGAGGAACACCGGUGGCGAAGGCGCUGCUCUGGGCCGAAACUGACGCUGAGGAGCGAAAGCGUGGGUAGCAAACAGG